UACGAAGCACACAGCCAGUUAGAACUGGGAGGGCCAGGCCGGCCAAGCCCUGACGCCCCCGUCACCCACGGGAGAGGGGCCGGGCCUGCAAUGAUGGGCCUUUGACCUUGCUGCCGAAAAGCUGCCACAGAGGGGGACAGAGGAAGGCGCUCUGGAAGUCAGUGGGGACAAAAGUUUUGCGUUGCCUGCUGUUCUGGGCAAUAAGGUAACCCCCCCUGAAAACCAAGAUGGGCUCUGUAUUUCAGUUCUAAAUUCUCUCUCCUCUGCCUUCAGACAGCUGUUAAGAGCAGUAGCUGACAUGCCUUGGGGGGCCUGUGUUCCUCCUGGGAGUCUCUCAGGUACGUCUGACAGCCCCCCAGGGGGACAGGUCUCACCCCACUUUGUACACGGGCUCGGGGCCUACCUGCUGUGUUAGAGUCCGGGGCCUGGGGAGGGGGUAGGACCCGUACCUGAGCUGGCCUGUGCCACCUCUAGGGAGACUAUCUGUAUUGCAGCCCGCUUUAGUCCUGUCACUUUACAGGUGACAUCAGCUGCGAAGGCGGCAUCCUGUAUAAAGGGACAGUGGGCUCGCCACCCCAUUCCCAAGACGUGUGAUUAGCGGUGUAAAGGAAAGGGGAGGAGGGCACAGAUGCUGCAAGACUUAAACACAGCUGCCUGCUCUCAGGUGGGCAGUGCCCGCUCCCCUGGAUGAGGAGUCCUGUCUGAUGCCUGCCUGAUGCCCUGGACUCCUGGGCAGUGGGUGGGGGCACUGCCGUGCCCUCCUGCCCUGUGAAAGUCAAGCUCGGCUACGGGCCAGGCUGUCUCGUGUGCCGUGGGAACAGCUCCUGGCUGGGGUUGGGGGUGUUCGAAGUUGCCCAUGUCUGAUUUUUACUGGGCUGGCGGAUUCCCCAGGGCUGCAUCUGUGAUCUUGGGAAUUAAAAUGGGGAAUUGAGGUAGUUCUAAAAACGACACUGCUUUUGGGAAGGUGAGCCAGAAAGAGGUGACUGGCUGGAGUCAAGGACAAUCAGUUCUCUGCUUCGAGGAGGUGCCGUGAGACUCCUGCUUUGUGUGGCUCUCUACAGCACUGCGCACCGAGAAGGCAAAGGCCGGACACGAGCAGUAGUGACAAGAAGCCAAACACGUGUAUGUUUUGCCAGAACUUCCAAGAACCUGGAAGGAAGAGGACAGACGGGCUCAGGCUUGAAAAGGCGUUUGGGAUGCCACUGCUCUGCCCUCGGGGACCCCACGCGAGGCCGAGGAGCUCCAGGCGAGUGAGGGCAUCGGCGCGGAGCGGCCUGUUUCUCGGGCUGGGGGCCCCGCUCACACGUCCCAGCCGCUCAGCCCUCGCUCCCGGCCGUGGGAGUGGGGUCGGUGGGGAGGCGGAAAGCGGGAAAGGGCCUGUGGAGAUGGGGACGGGAGAUGAAUCAACAGGGACUCUGUACAUCACGGGGGCGACACGGCAGCUGGGGGCGGCGGGCGCACAGAUCCUGCGGGUGGAGGAGGCCUGGGCAGGGGCCCAAGGGGGACGUGUAGGGACACGAUGCGUCUGCAGCGUGACUGGACAACCGGGAGAAAUCACUUGCUUCACGUCUCUCUAACCGCCAGGCCGCCGAAGCCCAAAGUUGAGGCCAAUUUCCGACCUGGACGCGGAGGGCCAGCUCCUGAGGCUUAUUUACAGGGAAGUGCCGCUGAGGAAUUUGCUGCGGGCUUUCAGGUUUGUUUCGGGCUCUGCGAUGGCAUCUGCAGGAAAAGGCCAGCGCUGCCAGAGUCCUCUCCUCUCUCCCCGCAAAGACUCCAGCAGCAGGUAGGGCUUCACCCCGGGGCAGCAGUGCUUCGCCACGCGUGGGGCCUGCUGGCCAGGUGGCCAGGGGUUCACACGACACACGGCUCUGCCAGCCCGGUGUUUGGACCAGGUCGGUAGAGUUCUCGGGGCUGUAGGAUGACCCGGGAGGGCCAACGGCCGGGUAAGAAGAGGCCUUUGCAGCCGUGAAGGAUCCCGGCGCCAGGCCUGAGGCGGGGACAUGUUUGGCCGGGUACCGGGUGUCUGCGAGUGUCAGGAGUGUCAGCGGAGGCAUUUCCCAGGGGCUGGGAAACCUCAACUGAACAGAGAGCCCGAAAGCAGACACUUCCCACCUGAUCCUGGGAGAACGCCCAUCACCUUGCAGCCGUGGCAGGAACACUGCCUGGGUCUCCAAACUGUUACCAACUACCACAAACUGUAGAUUCUUCUUCCCACUGGACUUGGUUUCGCCAGGUGUGAGCCUCUGGAAUUCCGCAUGGACCUGAAUGGCUCACUGUCCCUUCUUGUCGUGGUCCCCAGGCCCUCAGCGUACUCUCUGGACAAGCUAAAUGCCCGGAACUCAGGGACGCAGAAGUUCUAGAGGCCCCCGUGCCAGUCCUCUCAAAGGCUGGCUAAGACUAGACAUGUCCAGCCGCCCGCGGCAGAGUUACUGCAAAGGGAUGGGAGAUGCGGCACGUGCUGCUUCUUUAUCCAGCAGUGGACAGCUAAGGAACCAACCGUCAGGCCAAGGUCAGAGGCAGACUUGUUCAGAGCUGGAAACCGGCCUCCGGGACCACCUAACCCAGUUCCUUCACCCUCUGAUGGAAAGUGGCCUCCGCUUACGGGAACGGCUCCCAGUUCUCCCUCUCACGGUCUGCGAUGUUUGUCCCCGGGAGGAGAGAGCUUUUAGAAAAAGAAAUGCAGGGAAGCUGGACCCGUGUGUCCCCAUCUCACCGAGGUUCUAAGGACAGCAAGUCACCUGCACGGCCAUCCAUUCCCAGGGACAGCUGGGACUGCCCAGGCCUCUAGCACCCACCCAGCGGUCCGCUGCACUGCCUGCUGUCCCCGCGUCCGCUGCCUCUCUCUGCAAGAGGACUGUGCGUUCCUGCCCUGCUCCGUGCAGGCUGGCUCUGUGACCUGCUUCAGCCAGUGACACGUGGGCAGCCGCAGAGAGGCUGAACACUGGCCCGCUCUGCUGAGACCACACGUCCCAGACCCCCGGGGACUGGGCUCCCUGAGUGGAGGAGCCCUGGAGCGGAGCUGCAACUGACUCUCAGUGGAUAAGCACGGCAAACGCGAUCGACCCUUCGUUUUUAUAAGCCUUUGAAAUCUGGGGGUCCCCGGCAUCACAGCAGAACUCAGCUCCUGCUGACGGAUGCAUCCCUUUCCUAGGUGAACCCAGGUUUAUCAGAAAGCAACUCAGGGGACAAGGGAACUGCAGCUUCAGAGUGCUUACCACUCUAUGCCUGGAGGAGGCUGACCUGUGCAGGGUAUCAAGGCCAUGUCUGCCUGGCACAGACCCUCUGGGUUAAGCCGAAUUCUUAUGAGACCACUACACACAAGGAAACCACCAAGGCUGCUCUGACAGCAUCUACAUGGUGUGGCUGCAGCCUCACUGGGUUCAGAGUCCAAGCUGCCCCACAGUCCCAAGACGGUAGCAUUUUUAUGACAAAUAAAGCAGUCUAAUGCAGCACAGAAUAUGAAUGAUGAGAAUUACGUCACGGUGACCCUGGGAGGAACACAAAGUCAAUGACAACUGAAACCCUUCAAAGGCAAGCGUUUUCAACUAAAAACUAGACCGUGGAACUAGACAGUUAAGAGCCUGCUCGUGCGGGUCAAGUGUUCUGCUGAUACUGGAACCGAGACAAAAAAUCUGAAGCUAAAAGACAUGGGAAAAUCUCAAAGGCCCUUCUUGAGGGUGUAUUUUAGCUACGUAAAAAACCAGAACCCAACCAAAACAAACAAACAAAAACCCACAACCCUGGGAAAGAAAACGGAAGCCCUUCCUCAGGUAUAAACAAUCAUCAUUUGCGUUCCGAUUACUAAUCUAUGAAGUUCGCCGUGAGAAAACCUUAAUGGGCGGCUCCUUUAAGCGAGUACACCCCCCAAAUUUUAACUGCAGCUUCCGACACUGAUGACCCCAUCCUGGCUAAAGCAGAAACGCACGGGGAUGUGCCAGCGGGCCGAGCCGUGCUCCAGCAAGCGAGUCCACUGAGCAAAGCCACCCAUCUGCCCCAGAGGCUCAGUCCCCAUUCCCUGACCAUCAAUCCACACGGUCUCAACGCUUUCAAAAGGUCACAAGUAAAUCCAAACAGGCAAAAAUUCCUCUUUUCCUGGCCUUCAGCAAGGCCUGAUUACAUACAAGAGCGGACGGCUUCUUUUUUUACCCUUCCAAGCCACGCACACAAUUGGGAGACCACAGCCAGUGUUUUUAUUUCAUUCCCAACAGCUCCUUCUUUCUGUCCUGGCCACAUGUACCACGGUCUCAUACAGCCAAACCCGGGGCAGUGUGAGGUGGCAGUCACAAACCCCCGAUGCCAGAUGAGACUGCUAACUUACUUUUCUGCACCUCGGUUUCCUGCAAAAUAAAUCCCUUUCUGGGCUUUUGGAGAGACGGAUCACUGACACGUGGAAGUGACUCAGAAUCUGCUCAGAGGCUGCAACGCUAAAGCUCUAUCGUAAGCUCCAGGGGGCAGGACUCAGGUCCAGGUAAACGGCCUGCAUCCGGCCCAGUGUGCUCUGUGAUGAAUGCCUCCCGACAACGAUUCUGCCAAAUCAUCUCUAGCAGCUGAAUCUGGGCAUGAGGAAGGACCUUGCAACGCAUUUGGUUUUCGUUGGUAAGCAAGAGGUAACGAACAAGGCGAGGCUGUCAGCGCUUCCCCGGGGGUGGGAAAGGACCUCUGUUCUCAAACUUGAGGAAGGCUCAGGUUGACUGUGCGCCCUCAGACGCGAGGACAGCCUCUCCACACCACUGCUGGUUCGCCGCGCUGCUCCCAGGCAGAGUUAAGAGGCCAUAUGUAUCCUAUUCUACCUACCACCACUCUAAUUUCACUAGGUUGGCUCAACUGUUUUUCAGUCAUCCAGGAAUGACUAAAAGCUGGUCACUGGCUUUCAUGGCGACUCAUGAGGACAUUCUGUCCUAAGGGGAUUCUGUUGACGGAAUCCCCCCCCGCCCCGAGAGUUCUACCUGGUACACACGCCGCCCACUGGGCGAUGAGAUUAGGGUGAUGGACUUCCGGUCUACGAGGUCCAGGGCCUGGACGGCUGAGGAGCCGAAGACAAACUUCAGCCUGGGGAGCAGAAGAAGCUUGGGAUUAGACUGUGGGGCUGCAAGUCACUUCUGUAACGUAACCCCAAGGGUCAUCACCAGCAGUUUUUAAAAAUUCAAUUUGUUUCAAUUUGGGGGAAAACCCCCCAAAAGAUAUAAUAUAGCAAAAGACCAGGAAUCCACCGCCCAGAAUAAAUGUCAGCAUUUGUUACAGAUGAAGAAGCCCUCUCGGAGUUCUUGUCAUGACACAGUGGAAACGAAUCCGACGAGGAACAUGAGGUUGCAGGUUCGAUCCCUGGCCUCGCUCAGUGGGUGAAGGAUCCGGUGUCACUGUGGCUGUGGUGUGGGUUGGCAGCUAUAGCUCUGAUUAGACCCCUAGCCUGAGAACCUCCAUAUGCCGCGGAAGUGGCUCUAAAAAGCAAAAAAAUUAGAAAGAAAAAAAAAGCCCUCUCUAGCUUCGGGUGUGGCCAUUAAAAAAGAAAAGAAGCCGUCUCUAUACCCGAGUGCUUCCUACCCUUCCCAGGGUCCCUCAUCCCUGACGGGGUGUGUUGGCUGGUUUCCUUCCUGUGAAUGUUUUUCUGUCAUUAUAUGUAGUACAUGUGUGUAUGUACUCACACACACACACAAAUACACCCGCAUACAUAAACACAAGUGGUACUGUUUAUAAGGUUUAAAACAUAAAAGGUAUAUUGUAGGUUUUAUUGGCAGCAUUUUUUCCUCCACCCACUGUGCUUCUGAAAAUGAUGCGUGUAUAUGUGUGUGUGUGUAUAUAUUUUUCACUUUUGAAUAACAUCCCGUCGUAUGCACAGAACACAGUUUAUUUCCUGCAGUCUGCCGAUGUGCGUUCUGAAUGUUUCCCUUUUAUGCUGUCAUUCUCGUCCGCAGUUACCUCCGCACUGUCAUUGCCUUAGUGCACGCAGAGGAGAAUCCUUCCCGGGCACAUAAGCGAAAGUAGAAGUGCUGGCUCUUAGGACACGUGCACUUUCCGACUUGAAUAAGCAGUGGGAGGAGCCCCCCCCACGGGAGAGAGUCUCGCUUCCUCCACAUCCUCCCCGCACCAGUAUUACCAGGCCUUUUCAAGUCUGACCAUCUGACGGGUGUUAAAUUUGUACUUUCCGGAUUGGCAGGAACGGCAUCCAGCUGAUAAAUGAUGUGCUGGUAAAAAUCCCAUACGUGGGAAAAUUCUUAUGUGAGCUGAGAAAGGUUGGGCAGAAAAUCGUGUAUUUAGAAACUCUCAAUCAUGCUAUAAAUUUUUUUCCUUAGGUAAAUCCAUAAUUAUCUCAAAAUAAAACAUUACAUUAAAAAAAAAAAAAAGUAAUAAACCCAAACGGGGAGUUCCUGUCGUGGCGCAGUGGUUAACGAAUCCGACUAGGCACCGUGAGGUUGCGGGUUCGAUCCCUGGCCUCGCUCAGUGGGUUAAGGAUCCAGCGUUGCCGUGAGCUGUGGGGUAGGUUGCAGACGUGGCUCGGAUCCCCAGUUGCUGUGGCUCUGGCGUAGGCCAGUGGCUACAGCUCUGAUUAGACCCCUAGCCUGGGAACCUCCAUAUGCUGCGGGAGCGGCCCUAGCAAAGGUAAAAAGACAAAAAAAACAAAACAAAAAAAAAAAAAAACCUAAACAGAACAGGAAUUAUCACUGGGUGGUACACUGUUGAUGUUGUUUAUGUUUUAUUUCCCAAGGACUUUUUUCUUCCCCAAGUAUGGGUUAUUCUUAUAAACUGGAGAAUAAAAUGGUUCAGCUGAAUUAAAAUUAAAAAGGUAAUAUUUUAAAGAACCCAUAUGAUUUGAAACAAAGCAGAAAGACAGCACUACUAAGGCUGUAAAAUUAAGUGUUCAACUUCAUUUUCCAACAAAGUAAAUCUCAUUACAUGACAAACUUUUACGAUGGGAAAAUUUUUUUAUUUUUUUAUUUUUGUCUUUUUGCCUUUUCUAGGGCUGCUCCUGCGGCACGUGGAGGUUCCCAGGCUAGCGGUCUAGUCAGAGCUGUAGCCGCCGGCCUACACCACAGCCACAGCAACACCAGAUCCGAGCCAUUUCUGUGACCUAAGCCACAGCUCACGGCAACCCUGGAUCUUUAACCCGCUGAGCAAGGCCACAACCUCCUGGUUCCUAGUCGGAUUCGUUGACUACUACGCCAUGACGGGAACGCCGGAAAAAGUUUUUUAAAUUAAACAUAUGAUGACUGUCUAUGGACAAUGGAAAAUAAAGACAUAAAAUUGGGCAAUAAGUUUAUCAGAGAUAAUCCCAAUUAACUGUAAAAAUGGAUCUAAGAAGAAUUUUUUCAAACUGCCGUGUCUAUUUUUUAACAUACUGUGUACAUCUUGUGAACGCAGUAUUUUUCUCUCCCACUUCUUUUGUUUUUGGCUUUUAGGGCUGCACCUGUGGCAUACGGAGGUUCCCAGGGUAGGGGUCAAAUCAGAGCCAUAGCUGCCGGCCUGCACCAUAGCCACAGUAGCACGGGAUCUGAGCCAUGUCUGCGGCCUACACCACAGCUCACGGCAACACUGGAUCCUUAAACCACUGAGCCAGGCCAGGGAUCAAACCUGCGUUCUCAUGGAUACUGGUCAGAUUCGUUACCCCUGAGCCAUGAUGGGAACUCCUCUGUGCCACCUUUAAUGGUUACAAAGAAUCCCAUUGCAAAGAUGAGUGACUUUUAUUUUUCCCUAAAUGCUGUUUUUGGGUAGUGAGAGUUUAAGUCCACUUUGAAUGAUUAGAUUGUUUCCAAAUGUUUUUUUCUUUUCGCUGCCAUGAACAACAGUGGAAGCAUAUGUUUGUUGUGAAGUCUGUAUGAACAUCCAUGACUCCUUCCCUGGGUUAUGUUCUUAGAAGUGGAGUUUCUGGGUCAAAGAAUACGCAUAUUCUAAAGCUUCUGUUGCCAGCUGCCAGAUUCCCUUCCAAGUCAUACCGCGCACCAUCAGGGCAUCAGGUAACCUUUCUCAUGCUCUUGCCAACAGCUGGCACAUUCUCACCAACAUCUUUUCUGAGGUCACCAGCUGUACAGAUGCAAAGUUACCUCAUUCUUUGAAUCUGUAUCUCUAUGAUCACGAGUAAAAUUUACUUCUUUUUUCCA